AUACUUACGAAGACAGGGUCUUUGGUUGAUCAGAAAGGCCCAAAGCCUAGGUUGGUGGCCUUCACUGCACAGGGGAGGUGCACCCGCCCAAGGUCUGUCCAAGUGGGAGAGCGUACGUCAUAAUUUGUGGUAGCAGAGAAUGUUUAGUUCCGUUUAGUUCACUU